rfam:Crassostrea gigas strain 05x7-T-G4-1.051#20 contig5585, whole genome shotgun sequence.
CGCCAGAUAGCUCAGUUGGUAGAGCACCUGACUAAAGAUUCAGGGGGCCCGGGUUCGAAACCCGGUCUGGUCC